rnacentral:rRNA from 1 species
UGCAUGAAGUUGGAAUUGCUAGUAAUCGUGGAUCAGCAUGCCACGGUGAAUACGUUCCCGGGUCUUGUACACACCGCCCGUCACACCAUGGGAGCUGGUAACACCCGAAGUCAGUAGUCUAACCGCAAGGAGGACGCUGCCGAAGGUGGGAUUAGCGACUGGGGUGAAGUCGUAACAAGGUAUC